AAAUAAUGAAAUCACCCAAAAUAGUUAGAAUCAAUAGCAAAUGUUGCAGUAGUGAACCUACAGUUCUUUGAAG
rfam:Otolemur garnettii contig138138, whole genome shotgun sequence.